rnacentral:lncRNA from 1 species
UUUGGGGGAAAAAAAAGAUCUUUGAAGAUCCUGCACACUUAGACACCAGCAAAGCAGCCACACUACACCCUGGACACCAUCUGUGUAUAAUCCACACUGCAGGAAAUAGCAUCGUAGACAUCGUGUGAGCAUCAACUCUCCUUCCAGCCCAGAAAAGGCCAGAAGUAGCAAAGAAUUGGCUACACCGCAACUCCAUCCAUUUUCCAUUCUCUGCAGUAUGAAAACAUCUCCAGGUAGAGGAAGCCUCCACCAUGUUUGUCUCUGCAAUCUGCACAGCAGAUGAGUUCCCAUGCUGCUCGGCAACCCGAGAGUGUAAAAUAAAAUUUACUCCAAUGGUCACAUCAUCCUGGACUGCAUGAACGCAGCCACUGUGCAUGUCUCCAAGCAUGGCGCUCACAGCAGAUCCAUCACCCAGACCUUCAGGAGUCAUUUUAGGGACAAGCAGAUGACUAAUGGAUUCCCCAAGAAACGCCUCAUGGACUGAAGACCUCUAUGGAAGGCC